rnacentral:rRNA from 1 species
AGUGAACGCUGGCGGUAGGCCUAACACAUGCAAGUCGAACGGCAGCACAGUAAGAGCUUGCUCUUACGGGUGGCGAGUGGCGGACGGGUGAGGAAUACAUCGGAAUCUACUUUUUCGUGGGGGAUAACGUAGGGAAACUUACGCUAAUACCGCAUACGACCUACGGGUGAAAGCAGUGGAUCUUCGGACCUUGCGCGAUUGAAUGAGCCGAUGUCGGAUUAGCUAGUUGGCGGGGUAAAUGCCCACCAAGGCGACGAUCCGUAGCUGGUCUGAGAGGAUGAUCAGCCACACUGGAACUGAGACACGGUCCAGACUCCUACGGGAGGGAGCAGUGGGGAAUAUUGGACAAUGGGCGCAAGCCUGAUCCAGCCAUACCGAGUGGGUGAAGAAGGCCUUCGGGUUGUAAAGCCCUUUUGUUGGGAAAGAAAAGCAGCAGGUUAAUACCCCGCUGUUCUGACGGUACCCAAAGAAUAAGCACCGGCUAACUUCGUG